AGAGUCUAAGGAUAAACAAGACAGGAGUCGACCUGGCACAUCCAUGGGUUGGGGAGAAAAGUGACACUCAAGCCAGACUGCCUGUUUCUUGGGAUCCAGCCUGCCGUCCUUCCCUUCUGAGCUGCCAGCACUGACUCUGAUUUCUUGAGAUUCCCAUCUUCGGAUCAGACACACUUUCCCCGCUUCCUGGUCAUCCCCCCAAACAUGAGUGCUUGUCAUCUUGAAGAUGUCACUGUAAUUACUGUGAAGAGAAAGGAGAACGCAAGGACGCAGCAAGAGGAUGGCCGUCUGUAAGCCAGGAAGAGGGCCCUCACCGAGAACCGAAUCUCCCGACACCUUGAUCUUAGACUUCCAACCUCCAGAAC